rnacentral:rRNA from 1 species
CAAUAGCGUAUAUUAAAGUUGCUGCAGUUAAAAAGCUCGUAGUUGGAUCUCGGGCUCAGGCUUGCGGUCCGCCUCGCGGCGGUCACUGCUCGUCCUGACCUCCACGCCGGUGUCACCGUCCCUUGGUGCUCUUGACUGAGUGUCUCGGGCGGCCGGUACGUUUACUUUGAAGAAAUUAGAGUGCUUAAAGCAGGCCCUAGCCGCCUGAAUAAUGGUGCAUGGAAUAAUGGAAGAGGACCUCGGUUCUAUUUUGUUGGCUCUCGGAGCUCGAGGUAAUGAUUAACAGGGACUGACGGGGGCAUUCGUAUUGCGGCGCUAGAGGUGAAAUUCUUGGACCGUCGCAAGACGAACUACAGCGAAAGCAUUUGCCAAGCAUGUUUUCAUUAA